rnacentral:rRNA from 1 species
CACGUAGGAGGCGAGCGUUGUCCGGAAUCAUUGGGCGUAAAGCGCGCGUAGGCGGCUUUGCAAGUCGGGUGUGAAAUCCCCAGGCUUAACCUGGGAACUGCAUUCGAGACUGCAUUGCUAGAGUAUGGGAGAGGGAAGUGGAAUUUCCGGUGUAGCGGUGAAAUGCGUAGAUAUCGGAAGGAACAUCAGUGGCGAAAGCGACUUCCUGGACCAAUACUGACGCUCAUGUGCGAAAGCGUGGGGAGCAAACAGG